UACGUAGGGUGCGAGCGUUGUUCGGAAUUACUGGGCGUAAAGGGCGCGCAGGCGGCGAGUUUUGUCAGGCGUGAAAGCCCCGGGCUCAACCUGGGAAUUGCGCUUGAAACGGGCUUGCUUGAGACCGGGAGAGGAGAGUGGAAUUCCCAGUGUAGAGGUGAAAUUCGUAGAUAUUGGGAAGAACACCGGUGGCGAAGGCGGCUCUCUGGGCCGGAUCUGACGCUGAGGCGCGAAAGCGUGGGGAGCAAACAGG
rnacentral:rRNA from 1 species